rnacentral:rRNA from 1 species
AAUACCCGCUGAACUUAAGCAUAUCAAAAAGCGGAGCUC